GCAUAACGCGAAGAACCUUACCUAGGCUUGACAUGCAUCUCUAAGCACGUGAAAGCGUGUGACCCUUCGGGGAAUUUGCACAGGUGCUGCAUGGCCGUCGUCAGCUCGUGUCGUGAGAUGUUGGGUUAAGUCCCGCAACGAGCGCAACCCUUGUGACUAGUUGCCAGCACGUCAUGGUGGGAACUCUAGUCAGACUGCCCAGAUCAACUGGGAGGAAGGUGGGGACGACGUCAGGUCAGUAUGGCCCUUACGCCUAGGGCUGUACACGUACUACAAUGCCCAGCACAAUGAGAACCGAGACCGCGAGGUGGAGGAAAUCUAAAAAACUGGGCCCAGUUCGGAUUGGAGGCUGCAACUCGCCUCCAUGAAGUUGGAAUCGCUAGUAAUGGCGCAUCAUCUACGGCGCCGUGAAUACGUUCCCGGGUCUUGUACACACCG
rnacentral:rRNA from 1 species